AUUUAGCUCAGUUACCUUCGCUUUCUUGGGAACAGGAACAAUGGUGGCCCUCUUGAAGCCCUAUGUGCGUUUUAAUAGAUUCAUUAUAUAAUAUUCUUAAUUGAAUCCUUUUCCCAUUUUUGUGUUUUCAAAAAAGCAAUACUUCAUCGAGAAAUUAACAUCCUCCUAGCUGACUUAGAAUACCCUGAGUGUUCAAAUCCUGCUGUGCCUGGUGCAUCACAUAGUUGGAGUGUGAGGAAGGAACUCUCACAGGAUAGGUCGAUGGAGUCCAGGCCUGAGAUGGUAGAUUCUCUGCCGGCUGCAGAGCAUGCUUCUCAGAAGAUCUUUCAGUCAUGCAAUGUGAAAAGGGCUAUUCUGCGAUGUAGAGAUUGUCUGCCGGAACAGCUUUACUGCGAAGACUACGAUGUCUCUACACAUGCAAAGUCCCCCCUGCGCAACAGACAGUCCAUGUUGGAGGGAACACGCCCCUUCCUCCAACUACAGACAUCUCUCCACAGUGAUAGCAAAUAUGCACUUCAUGAACAGGGUGUGUUUUAUUUAUUUUUGCAUCUGAAUGUAUUAUAUCAAAGUUCAAAUGUAUUCUUGUUUAUUGUUGUAUAUAAAUAUUGUCCCUAGAUAGUUUUUUUUUACCAUUGGACGUACCAGAGGUGAUAUGUGGUUGCCUGACAAGCACCAUCCAUGUUGGCCUUGGGACACAUAUAAUCCUCAUAGGAAUAAAUGGUAUGUGUAAUAUCUACAAGAACCAAACAGUGAUGUAGCAAUGCAAUGUAAAACAACAUUAAUUAAGACUACAUUUUUUUCCUCAAGGUCGCUACAAUGUCACAGUGCCUGUGCUGACCUGCACAACCUGUCUUAGCACCUGGACAGCAAACUUAGCAGAUCUGAUAAAGAAUGGGCACUGGCCUGCCACUGUCAACUGUGACACCAUUUACCAGGUAGACCUGUUCAGCUCUUUUGAGGAGCUGAAAGUGUCAGCCCCAGGAAUGUCCCGUCUGGCAUUUAUGCGGAUUUUGGAGCAGCGAACUGACUUCUUUGGCAGGGUAACAAUAAAUGAUGCUCAGCUUUACCAAUGUAUGACUUCAGGUUAACAAUAUGUUAAAUUUAUGUUACACAAAGCGUUGUAACAAAAUGUAUUUCCUGUACUACAACUAGGUUAAAACUGCAGGUCUCUUGUUACAGUAUGUGUUAGCCUCCUGCACCACUGUCCUGCCAUGCCCCUUAUCUGUGCCCCUGUUGCGUCCAAUAUUUCCUGCUCUUUACAACAUAAGUACUCGUGCUACUUUAGCAUUGGCUUUCACCUGCUUUGCUGUCAACACUAUGCACUGGCCCUGCUUUAACUCAAAUCCAGUCAGACAUAGUGAAUUAUAGUAUGUUUUGUUUAUGCAAUUGUUGUAAGUUAUUUCAUAUAUUUUCUAUAUGCAUUUUUCCCUUACCAGAACGGAAUGAUCUGUGGGGACACUUUUCAAAAAAGCUUCUUUGAGUGGACGUACUGCCGCUCUGAAAUUGAUCAGGUCUGUGAUAUACAGUACUUUGACUGCCUAGCCUGUUCACUCAUGCUUGCAGUGUCAGUGGACGGGAACAAGAAGCUGUAUCGUUUCAAAAAAGGGACUGAUGACAAAGGAUUCUUUGAUGGCGUAUUUAUCUGCAAGGAUAAGGAUGUCUGACUUUGUGAACUAUGUCCAUACAAAGACUAAACAUGGUUAUGGAAAAGGGGUAUGUGGAGCAUCCCAGUGGACAGCAGCUAAAGAGUCGUCAAGGAAAACAAACGACAACCUUGAUGAAGAGGGACUUGAAGUUGCCAUCUGCCGCCAUGGAAUACUUCUAAGGAGCCUCAACAUGAUGCGUGGAGAGAUAUUUGCAUACCCACUGUUCUUGCAGAAGGAAUUGUCUGGUAGCAGGAACAUACAAUUCAUGUGUACAGAUGUGAUCUGCAAAUUUUGGCCAUAACUGACCAGGGUUGCUCUUCAUUGUCCAGAGCUCGCCACUCGUCUAGACAUGAAGCCACUUCUUUCUGUCUGUCGUGCAUGCUAGAUUAAGUGGGGAGGACGGAAUCGGCAAGGAGCUGGCACAACUCUGGCGGAGGAAGUGAAACAAGGGAACAGCUUCUUGUCGAGGGCUGCAGACUGUCGGCGGUCGACGUCACUGGUCUUCUAGCCAAUACACUUUUCCUUUUCCAUUUGUUUUGUCUUGUCUUCCAUUACACCUGGUUUCAAUCUCAUCAAUUACAUGUUGUGUAUUUAACCCUCUGUUCCCCACAUAUCCUUGUCCGGUAUUGUUGAUUGUAAGAGUUUGUGCACAUUAUGUCUGGCAUGCGAAGGGUUUUGUCCCAUUGUAUUUAUUUAUUUGUGUUUGUUCACAGUGAUAUUAUUAUUAAACUGCACCCUUGUAACAUAGUUUUUGCUCUCCUGCGCCUCACUUCUCUGCCGCCAGUACGCACACAUUACAGGAAUAAGGAAUUCUAUUUGGCUUUUCUAGCAAGAACAGACAUGCUAACCAUCCAUGCCAUGGAACAGAAGGAAGAAGAACAGCCUGCACAGAGUAUUUUCCAGAAGAUACUUGAAGGUGUAUUGUGUGGAUCAAUACAUGUAUUUUAGAAGUAUUAUAUCUAUGCAUUUAAUUUAUUAUAAAAAAUACAUAUAUUCAGCAAAAAUCCAGGAGGAGACCCAGACUCUCGAAAAGUUUAAGAGUGAUUUGGGUGUAGGCAAUGAGACUGUACAACUGGACAACGGAAGUUCAGCAAUGGGCCAAUACAGGUAAAUGAAUACAAAAACUAAAUAAUCCUAAACGUAACUCUCCUGAACUGUCACCUUAACGUAGUGGAGAGGCUUGCGUACUCCAAUGACCCUGAGACCUAAACCCUUACAGGGUGUUUUCCACCGGCAGGUGCAAUCAAGCCGGACAGGUGGAAGGGUAGGAGGCAGACAAAACAUUCACUGGUUCUCCAGGUUGGGGAUCACUCACCCCCCACAUAACAAAUAAUUUGUUACAGAAACCUUCACGGGCCCUAUGUUCCUCCAGGAAGUGAGUGCAACUACUCACCGUUGGAGAUACGUUGUUAAUUUAUAGAUGUAUUGUAUUUCAGAGGAAACAAAUGAGAACAUGGAUGGUCCCCAGGUACUACAGAGAACAAUUGAAGUCCUUUUUCUUAG